rnacentral:rRNA from 1 species
UACAGAGGUCCCAAGCGUUGUUCGGAUUCACUGGGCGUAAAGGGUGCGUAGGCGGUCGGGUAAGUCUGAUGUGAAAUCUCACAGCUUAACUGUGAAACUGCAUUGGAUACUAUUCGGCUCGAGGAAUGGAGGGGAGACUGGAAUACUUGGUGUAGCAGUGAAAUGCGUAGAUAUCAAGUGGAACACCAGUGGCGAAGGCGGGUCUCUGGGCCGAAAUUGACGCUGAGGAGCGAAAGCGUGGGGAGCAAACAGG